GCGUGAGGAGGCGGGGCUGCGGGGCGAACUUGCGACCAGAGGAGGCAGGCGUCCCGAGGGCUGGCGUGGGGGAGGCGGGCUGAACAGGCUUGCCAGGCGGGAGCACGCUGCCCUGCGUGGGACCCGCGCGGUGUGCGGAGAGGGGGGAGAAAAUCAUGGAAUGGAAUUGCUGAUUCAGGAGGAAGUAAACAUUCACAAGGCACCUGGGAUACAUUGGAAAUCUACACUGCAGAAAUUUCCCGUAAAUGGACAUCCCGUCUGUAAGGCCCUGCCCGCCACCGCUGUGCCGCCUGCCCGCCUGCCGCGUCCAGCACAGUGGACCCAACUGGUCUGCGGCCCAGCCGCCCCUCAGCCUAACUCGAAGCUGGUCUUGAAGGCACAAGGAGGUGGGCACCACCUUUGUCAAGAAAUGUCAUCGAGAAACCAGGGCAUUCCCCCCGGACUUCCUCGGGUCCGUCAGCACGCACGUGAUGCAGGUGCCGUGCGCCAGCAUCCUGGGGCGUCUGUGCCCAACCCGAGGUCCCGAUCCUUGUGGUCUGUUACCACCGUUCCCAGGCCUUCGCACCCACUGCCGGCUUUGGGAUGAGGUCGCUUCUGUCUGCAUGGGCCCCAGGAGCCCUGCUUUCUCUCAUUGUGCACGCUGAGGUCACACACUGAGUCGCAUGUCCACGAAGGCCUUUCGUCACACAGGGCUCCACCGCACACGUCCCUGAGACACACCUGCAAGGUCGGGCUAGCGGGCCACUCUCUGCCUUCCGUUUCUGGAGCUUUUUCCUUGUUUAUUUAGGGACGCAGAAACAAAACAGGCUGAUCAGACACCACCGUGAAAGGCAUUAGUAGGUCAAAAGCAAAAGCAGGUGAAAAGCUCAUCCAUGCACUGUCUUCAGCAGAGACAACACAGUCCCACCUCAUGCAGGGACUCUCCUGCACCCCCUGGGGGACCCCAAAGCACCCCGUAGACACAAGCUUCCCCAGACACCCAGGAUCCUUCCCAAAGCACCUUCAAACUGUGACCAUCGUUUGCAUGAAGGACGGUACAAAGGAGAAUAGACCGUUGGGUUUGCGGAAGCCAGCCUGGCCUCCUCCAGGACGGGAUGUGGAUCUGAAGUCAUCCCUACCAAAUGACAAGCCUAUCGAUAGCCGGGUUGCUAUAACCAGGUGACCCGGGUCACUAGACGCACUGCUUGUAAGGAAAGCGGUCUGUCCCCUGUGCAGUUUCCAGUCUGCAGAACAGCAGCGCCGUGAAGGACACGGGAGCAGAGGCCAAGGAAGACGUGCUUCCCCAUGAUGCUGUUAGAGCAAGAGAAGUACCGAGGGGACCAUGAACGUGGGCCGUGUGGCGCCCACCUGCCAGUGACAGACGUGCAGUGACAUUGGGGGGUGGGACCUUGCCGUGGACACUGUGGCAUUUCCAGGCCUGGACUGUCCACAGAGAAUUACCAGGACAGAGUCAAAAACACACCGAGUAGGAAGUAGCUGCAGAUCAAGGACCCGUUUGCACAAAAUGCAGAGCUGUUCAAAGAAACAAGUGUCAUCGAGACACGUUGGCCGUUACUUGGCAUGAAAGUUCCAAGGCGGCUGCUCAGUGCGAGGGUGUGAUGAAAGGGACGCCCUGAGCUGUGCCUGCUCCUCAGAGCCCAUUCUGGAACGGACACCAGUCAGCGGGACUCGUCUUUUAAGCACCGCCUCCUGUUUCCCGCCAACUCUGCACGCAGCCUGCGGUGCCUGAGGGAGGCGUUCUUUACCGCGUUUUGUGCUUCUUUCUUCUCCCGGUUAACCAGGCCUAUUUCUCCGGGAGUGAGGUGUGAGAACAGGUGCGCUCCCUGGAGAAGGCCGGGUCCUUCCUGUCAUUGGUUCUUGGACAAUUUCAUCCUUUAGGACCCCUCCUCUCUCCUGCUAAAAUCCAGAAGAAGUAGAGAAAAGUGUCCUUAGCCCAAUGACUAACGCACCUGCACCUUUCUGGCUUCCUUAUCAACCUCUCAACCCCAGGAACAGUGAACCCUGGAUCAACAUAUCAGUCGAGGUCGACUUGGAUUUGGAUUACAAAUUGCAAUCAUCUGAGAGGUGAGCCGCUGGCAUGGGCACCUGACUGUUCUCUGCAGCUGAGGAUUAACGGACACACUGCCUGAGCACCUUCUCCGUCUGGUAAGUGCAGGUGCACGCGCCCUUGCUCCCUGAGACCCGGGCUUUCCGAGGGUGCUGCGCUGUCAGGAAGGCUCUGUGACGUGCGGGGUGCUGUAGGACAGUCAUGUGCGUGUUCAUUGUGUUAGUUGGGGGGACUCCGUCUCCAGAAUUCACAGAAUGUUCCUGCCAUUUUUCUGGUUCCUCGAACAUCCUGAGUUUUCAGACAAGAGCUAGAUUCGCCUGCUUGGGUGUGUGUGUUCUGGUGGGGGUGAAGAGAAUCUCCUAUUUUUGUUUCAUGAUGUAAAAAACAGGUGAGGGGUCCAGGAAAUAAAUAAGUUAAAGAACCACUGGAAUUGGGUGGAUUGGGUCAUAAAAAAGAAAAAAGAGCACAGUGAAUAGAGUGAAAAGCUGGAGCAAACUGGGCAUGACAGGGACAGGGGGGCAGGGGGAGCAGUGGGUGCCACAGGGGCUUGAACUUCAGGGGCAGGGCUCCCGAGAGUCCUGUGUGGGACAGGCCUUCAGGAAGGACAGGGAGGGGGUGCAGAUUAAACCAAACCGAUGGCUUAUACCCACAAAAGUUGAGUGCGGCAGGUGAGGGCUGGCCCCAUGGUGUGCCACUGGGCUCCUGGAGCAGGUGGUUUGAAGAGUGGGGAGACAUGGCCUGACCUGCCCAGGCCUGUGCUCUAGAAUCUUCUGGGGCCCCAGUGCCAUGGGCCCAGCAGUGGGGAGGGUGCCUCUCAGGCAGCUCCCGCCAUGCAAACGGCCCACAGUCACAGGUGAGGGAAGGGCUGUGACCUAAGAACUGCCCAUUAUUUUGCUAUUCUAUGAAUUCCUGUCCUGUUGAUAUUUUAAAAUAUGAAUCAGCUAUUGUUUGAUAAAAGUGUACAUUUGCAGUGUGCCCAAGCUUGCAGUGUAACUGGUACUUUCAGAUCGUUGAGGGUGGGAAUAUUCUUGGAAAGGAUUUGCCAUUUAUUUUGUGUCACCAAAAUGACCUUUGACCUAUGAAUUCCACUCUGAGGAAUUGGAAUUUUUUCCUAAGGAGAAAAACCAAAUACCUGAAAAUAUACAUGAUCAUUCAUUUGGAAUAGACAAAGAUUGGUAAAAAAAAAAAAAGGGGGGGGAAUAACUUUAUCAAUUAUGAUACAUAUAUUGUUGAAAUUUUUGAAUCUGUUGAGUCUGUUGAAAAUUUUUUGAAGCAGUUUAACAAUGUGGAAAUUGCUAAUGACUAUAAAAUGCCCAAUACAAGAUACAGGCGUGGAGUAUACACUUGGAUCACAUGCAUAAGGAACAGUAAUUUAUGCAAAAGGAAUCAACCUUCUCUUUCUUUCAUGUUAUAAUUACAUGUAAUGAUAGUUUCUUGUAAUUCUUGAUGUAUUUCAAUUUGUGUUCAGCCUCUUGUUUUAUACUUUCUGUAUCUUCCACACUGUGGUGGACACAGCUCUCUGUGUCCCCCAAGCUUCCCUACUGCAAAGACACGUUAGAGAUUGGUGAGUGGGUGGGGUUAUGUCCUACACUACCCCAUCUCCCCAGAGAGGAGGUGGGUUGCCACCCUUGCAGGCCCUGGAGGCCGGGAUCUGAGGGCGGUCUCCAGCCAACAGGGCAGUGGGGACUCAGUCCUAGAACCUCACAGACCUCAGUUCUCUCAACAACCCAGCCUCUUGUGGGAGUGCGGGAAAAAGGCUAGGGCUCACAUGGGAGUGUGGCCCCAGCCAGCACCGGGAUUCCAGCCCGCUGGGGCCUGAGCACAGGACCCUGCUAACCCACAUCCAGACUCCUGACCCACAGAGCCUGUGAGAAGAAAGGGUGUGAACCAAGUUCAAGGUGAUUUGUCGUGCCGCAUGACAAUAAGAACACACGCCUAUUUUAGGUUUCUUUUUAUUUCCUUCCUUGGAUUGCUUUAGAUUUAUCACAUCUUUUUCCUGAUGUUUAUUUUCCUCCCUCUGCUAAUUUGGUAGUUACCAAUUCUGUUUCUGUUCUUUAGUUGUUCUCAUGGGCAUCAACACAAGAAAAAUUAACUUACCAGAGUCUGAAUUAGCCAGUAGCUUCACCCUUCGUUGACACCUUUACAACUCAGAACACAUUAACUGCCUCUCUCCAUCCUGAUUUGCAUGCUACCGCUGUCAUUGAUUUCACUGCAAGCUUGACUGUUUUCUUUUUAAACUCAUCACAUGUAAUUAUUGUUUUUACACAGCGUUUGCUUGGAUUUCCCCACAUAUUUACCACAUUUUGUGUCUUCUGUCUCCUCCUUCAUUUCAGACCAUGUCACUGGGAUCACAUACCUUCUGUGUGACAUCAAACCCUCUGUUUGUGGUCAUUUAACAGUGCCUUUGUUUCCCCCCUGUCCUCAGUGAGUGGUCUUGCUGGGUGCAGUAUUUGAGGUUGAGGUUUGCCCUCGGUAGUUGAAGAUACGAUUCCAGUCUCCUGAAUUUCCAUUGUUCUGAUGAGUAAGCUGUCAGUCCCUCCUCUGAAGGCAGUCUGUCCUUUCUCACUGGUGUUUUUAAGACCUUCUCUUGUUUUUCUCCUUCUGUUGCUGUGUUAUGCUGAAUCUAGGUAUGGAUUUCUUUUUAAUUAUUAUGUAUUGAAUCAUGGGGUUCUUCAAUCUGUGGGAUGAUAUCUUCCAUUAGUCUCUAUUUGGUUCUAUUUGGUUGUUUUCCAGUCUUUAUGACAUCUGGGGGUUUUGUCCUCAUAUUUUAGUAUUUUUUAUUUACUUAAACAUAUUAAAAAUACUUUGUUUUUUGAGCCUAUAAUUAUCACAUCUUUAACUCUGUUACUGUACUUUUUUCAUUUCAUUCUCUUACCAUUUUCGUCUGCCAGCUGAAACUCUUCAUCUGUUCAUGCAUGUUGUUUACCUUUUCUAUUAGUGCCUUUCAAGUGUUAAUCACAGUUAUUUAAAUUCUUGGUGUCUGAUAGUUUCAACAUUUGGGUCACACCUGCCUCUCAUUCUGUUGACUGCUUUGUUUUCUGACAGUGAGUAUAGUCCCUUCCUUCCUCCCUGCUCCUUCCCCCUCUUCCCUCCCUCCCUCCAUUCUUCUCUCCUCCCUCCCUCCCUCCUUCCCUUCCUUCUCUUGUAUGUCUUGUACUUUUUGGUUGAGAGCAAGAUAGUACAUGUGGACACAGUACUGAGUUAAUUAUGUUUAUGUGUGGAAAAAGGAGCACCCCUUUUUCCGCUUGGCCAGUAAUUUUAGGGUUGAGUCUGCCUGAUCCUAGUUGACUUUGGGAUUUGUUGUUGCUAUGGUUACUCUCCGUGCAACCACCAGCAUUCCUCUAGCUUUACCUGAGGCCGGGGGCUACUUUGCCAGAAAAACUUUCUUGGUGUCCACUUCAUUCUCAGUCUUAAACCUCUUGUCUCCAUGCCUCCAGUGGGUCUCUUGCCACAUACUUGCCUCUCCCCCCGGGGUGGACCACCAAGCUUUCCAUACAGCACCGGCCAGCCUGACGUUGGGAGUCAAGACCUUCUCUUGUUUGGUGCAGAUUCCGUCUUGGCAGGAACUGCCUGCUGGGUCUUGGGAGGGGAGCUUCCCUGGGAACGCAGCAGAAGACCUCUAAUGGUCCAGAUCCCAGUUGGCUUUCUGCCCGUUCCCGGAGAAUUGAGCCUCUUCCUUUACCCUCCCCCAGCCACGACGGGUUUUCAUCUGUGCCCUGGGAGUGACAACAUUUUAUACUCAUGUUAUCCCACACUCAGCCUUAGGCAGUUUGUUAACACCUGUAGCUGAGUUCUCAUUACCCAUCCUACCCUGGGGAGCCCCAUCUUCUUUCUGCACCCUGACCGUGGUGAGUCACAGGUCUCGUCUUGUCUCCACGGAAGCACCUGUCUCUGCUUACGUAGCAGGCUGCUGUUGGUUGACCUGAAACCUCAGUGCUCUGAUGGGCUCAAGAAAAGGCACAUUUGUAGAUCAUUGGCUUUGUGUUAUUGUCAGGGUAGGGCAAUCCACUUGCCCGCCUUCUGCACCUGCUGCUCUGCUUCCGGCAGCUGCCUGCCCCAGUGUAUUUAACCAGUCCCCUUGGAUGGACUUUUCGUUUCUCCCAACCCUUUGCUAUUUCAGACACCUCUGUGGAAAAUGACAUCAUUUUUCACACUCGUGAAUAUCUCUGAGUAAGUUCCUGGGAGAGGAAGUGCCAGAUCACAGGGAGGGCACAUUCGGAAUGUUUAUAUUUAUCGCCAUAUUUAUUUAUGUUUAUACAUUAUACAUUUAUGUUUAUUGCUCUGUGAAGUUUAAGGAGUUUACACUCUUUGCCUAACUAAGAAGUGAAAAAUGGUUCCUGUGUCGUUUGAAUUUGCUUUUCUCAUAUUACAGUGAGAUUGAACUUCAUUUCAUAUAUUAAAGCAAUUUUCAUACUGCACUGCACACAUAAAAAUGGUUAAAAUAGCAAAUUAUAUGUUAUAUAUUUUCACAAUAGAAAAGCUAUUUGCAUUCUUUUCUAUGAAUGAAAUAUUCACAUUUUUACCCACUUUAUAAUAAAUGUGUUUGCCUAAUGUGUUUCAGUUGAUUUUUCUAGAUUUCUAAGUAGAUAAUCAUAUUUUCUGCAAAUAAGAACAACACUGUAUUUUCCUUUAAAUCAUCCUGGGGGGAGAAGGCAUUCUUGUCUUCCUUAUGACUUUACCAGGGGUGUUUUCCUGUUCUCACCGUUCACGGCCUGGUCGGCGAUUGGUUUGAUGUGGUCGGUCUUUGUUAGGAGAAAUGUAUUUCUAUUCCUAUUUUCCUAAAAACAUCUUUUAAUCAAGAAUCAUUUUGUUUUCCUCAAAAAGAUGCCAUUGGAAUUAAGGUUAGUAUUGCAUUUAAUUUGCGAAUCAUUCUCAGGACGACUACCGUUAUGUAAGUUGCUGGUAUUUUAUUCCAUGUGUAAACGGAUUCAAUAUUUAUCACCAUUCCUUGUAUACUAGGGCAUUUCCAUUCUUGAAUCAUUUUUAGAUUCCUCUUUCAGUUAGCUGGUCAAAUAUUUGAGUGAUUUUCCAAGAAAAUUUGUGGUGGCGUGCUUCCUGAACUCUUGCUUCCAUAGUUACAUCUUUCUGUUCCCUACACGCAGGAGCAUCAGGGCGGCCACACAAGGAGUCCUCUCGGUUCCCACUUCCCAACAGCGGAGUCCUGUCAUCCCGGCUUCCGAGGGCCUUCCCUUUGAAACCAGCCCGAGGUUUUUGCCUUCCGAUAUUUUGUGAGCAUCUACAUGCUUCAUAUAGAAAUGUUUGUGCUUGGAAAUCACACGUUUGGCAUGUGUCCGGGCCUAAGUCUUCCUUUACUGGUUUUCCUUGAAAUCGGAGGUUUCCCUUCCAACUGCAGAUUUAGGUCUGCAGCUCCCCUCUCGUAUCUCUUGCGCUUCCUCUAUUCUCUUCUUCAGAAGGACCAGUUAUUUGCACUUCUAACCUGUAUUGUGUGCGCUCUGAACCUUCCACCAUGUCAGAGUUUCACUUCUUUAUCUGUUUCUUUUUUCUUG